AUGGCCCCAGAGAGAGCGAAGAAGGCAGUGGACCCAAAGGCGGAGAAGAAGAAGCUCGAGAGUGAGGAACAGCGGCGGGACAAGGCCUUCUUCCUACUAGUGCUAACGACCGAUGAUCUGAACAAGAAAUACUUGCAUGUCUGGUCAAGCAAGACCGAUAACCAUCCGGCUAUAGAAGUCCUCGCAGGGUCGGCUGAUCUAGCGGACAACCAAUUCCACUUCUUUGCCAGGUAUUUCUAUGGUGGGCUCUGUCCGCCUUUCUUAAAUUUCUUCAUAGAGGUCAUGAAAUCCUACAGAUUCACUUGCUAG
rnacentral:rRNA from 1 species